GUAGUCCACGCCCUAAACGAUGCGCACUAGAUCGUGGAGGCUCUGACGCCACCAUGGUCGAAGUUAAAAUGUUAAGUGCGCCGCCUGGGGAGUACGGUCGCAAGGCUAAAACUCAAAGGAAUUGACGGGGGCUCACACAAGCGGUGGAGCAUGUGGUUUAAUUCGAAGCAACGCGAAGAACCUUAUCCUGGGCUUGACAUGCAUGGAUUAGGUCCUGGAAACAGGGCUGACACUCUCUGAGUGGAACAUGCACAGGUGCUGCAUGGCUGUCGUCAGCUCGUGCUGUGAAGUGUCGGGUUAAGUCCCUUAACGAGCGAAACCCCUAUCUCUAGUUGCUAACGCGUCAUGGCGAGGACUCUAGCGAGACUGCCGGUGUCAAACCGGA
rnacentral:rRNA from 1 species